AGAUGUGCUCGUAGAGUAACGAGCAGGGUAAACAAAGAAUGCUCAUUAAGA
rnacentral:sRNA from 12 species